rnacentral:rRNA from 1 species
CCUACGGGUGGCAGCAGUGAGGAAUAUUGGUCAAUGGGCGAGAGCCUGAACCAGCCAAGUCGCGUGAGGGAGUACUGCCCUACGGGUUGUAAACCUCUUUUGUCGGGGAGCAAAAGCCGGAAGUGUCCGGCUGUGAGAGUAUCCGCAGAAAAAGAAUCGGCUCACGCCGGGGCAGCAGCCGCGGUAAUACGGAGGAUGCGAGCGGUAUCCGGAUUUAUUGGGUUUAAAGGGUGCGCAGGCGGCGUUUUAAGGCAGCGGUCAAAUCGUGGGGCUCAACCCCAUCCAGCCGUUGAAACUGGGGAUCUAGAGGUUGCGAGAGGGAUGCGGAAUGCGUGGGGUAGCGGUGAAAUGCAUAGAUAUCACGCAGAACCCCGAUUGCGAAGGCAGCAUACCGGUGCACAACUGACGCUCAGGCACGAAAGCGUGGGUAUCGAACAGGAUUAGAUACCCUUGUAGUC